GUUUUACCUGUUUUGAGUGACUUGUUAUCAGAGAAUCGGCAUUGGUUCACAGUUUGGGUCAAUCUCAAAAGCCACUCUUGUGAAAUUUUAGAUUCUAGCCUCAAUGAUGAAACCAAGCCAGAGCGAUUGGAGUAGACGACUGAGAUGUUGACUACCCUAGAUGAGUUAUUUGCAUUUGACAUUGCUGCCACAAUGGGAAGUAGGGAAUCUAUUAAGUUUAUGAAUUUCAGAAGUCCUUUCGAGAGUGUCUACCCCAACAAAAAAAUUUGAAUAAUUGUGGUGUUUUCGUUAUGAAGUAUAUGGAGGCAAUCAUUCAGGGAAAUGCCACUGCCUAUGAGUUCGGUGUGGAUGCCGAGAGAUAUAGGCUUGGCAAUCUCAUUGUUGGCCAUGAACUCAAUAAAUUGGGGGAGAUAAUCAAAGCCGAAAGUGAGGACCAUUUUCAGUGUAAUAUUGUUGAGGACAGUGAUGAAAUAUGGCUAUCAUUUGGUCAGAAGGAGACUACUAGUCGCAUGGAAUCCCUUGGUAUCCCACUAGAGAUAAGGUCGACAGCCCCUUCUCGAACAA